rnacentral:rRNA from 1 species
GAUGAACGCUGGCGGCGUGCCUAACACAUGCAAGUCGAACGAUGAAACCGCCCUCGGGCGGACAUGAAGUGGCGAACGGGUGAGUAACACGUGACCAACCUGCCCCUUGCUCCGGGACAACCUUGGGAAACCGAGGCUAAUACCGGAUACUCCUCGCCCCCCUCCUGGGGGGCCCGGGAAAGCCCAGACGGCAAGGGAUGGGGUCGCGGCCCAUUAGGUAGUAGGCGGGGUAACGGCCCACCUAGCCCGCGAUGGGUAGCCGGGUUGAGAGACCGACCGGCCACAUUGGGACUGAGAUACGGCCCAGACUCCUACGGGAGGCAGCAGUGGGGAAUUUUGCGCAAUGGGGGAAACCCUGACGCAGCAACGCCGCGUGCGGGACGACGGCCUUCGGGUUGUAAACCGCUUUCAGCAGGGAAGAAAUUCGACGGUACCUGCAGAAGAAGCUC